GUGAGGACGUGCUGCCUUUAACAUGUGUCUUAGUCUGAUUUAAUCAUGAAAUGGCCGUGCAACAGAAACGAACCAUGAGGGUUAUUGUCUGUGAGGGAGACAUACGAAAGAUGACUUUUACAUCAGACAAAGACCAUGGAGCCAACAGACAUCAGGUGCCUUUGUCUUCGGGGACUGCCGGUCAUCUUGGGAGGUGAUCCUUCCGCCUUCUUCAAGACAUGCUUUGUAAG